UCCCCUCUCCAGUGAGAAUGCCCUUAAUAUCACCCCUGAUCAAGAGGAGCAGGUAUUAAGCACACUAACCAGUAGCUCAAGAUGCCUUGCUUAACCACACCCCCAAGGGAUACAGCAGUGAUAAAAAUUUAGCAAUGAACGUAAGUUUGACUAAGCUAUGCUACUCUAGGGUUGGUAAAUUUCGUGCCAGCCACCGCGGUCAUACGAUUAACCCAAACUAAUAAACACCCGGCGUAAAGCGUGAUUUAAAAUCAAAUAACAACUAAGCUGUAAAAAGUAAUAGUUGCAAACAAAAAUAAACGACGAAAGUGAUUUUAUAGCCUUCGAACUCACGAUAGCUAAGAUCCAAACUGGGAUUAGAUACCCCACUAUGCUUAGCCUUAAACCUAAAUAAUUUUAUAACAAAAUUAUUCGCCAGAGAACUACAAGCCAGAGCUUAAAACUCAAAGGACUUGGCGGUGCUUUAUACCCGCCUAGAGGAGCCUGUUCUAUAAUCGAUAAACCCCGAUAAACCUUACCACUCUUUGCCAACUCAGCCUAUAUACCGCCAUCUUCAGCAAACCCUAAAAAGGAGCAAAAGUAAGCUCAACCAUCACCAUAAAAACGUUAGGUCAAGGUGUAGCCUAUAGAGUGGAAAGCAAUGGGCUACAUUUUCUACUUUAGAACACACGAAAGCCCCUAUGAAACUCUAGAGACCAAAGGAGGAUUU
rnacentral:rRNA from 1 species